UACGUAGGGGGCAAGCGUUGUCCGGAAUUAUUGGGCGUAAAGAGCUCGUAGGCGGUUUGUCGCGUCUGCCGUGAAAGUCCGGGGCUCAACUCCGGAUCUGCGGUGGGUACGGGCAGACUAGAGUGAUGUAGGGGAGACUGGAAUUCCUGGUGUAGCGGUGAAAUGCGCAGAUAUCAGGAGGAACACCGGUGGCGAAGGCGGUUGGCUGGGCCGUGGCUGACACUGAGGCGCGACAGCGUGGGGAGCAAACAGG
rnacentral:rRNA from 1 species